GGUCCCGUAGCUCAGUCGGAUAGAGCACCAGAUUCCUAAUCUGGGGGUCACAGGUUCGAAUCCUGUCGGGAUCACCA
rnacentral:tRNA from 1 species